CAGAGUGGCAUUUAGCAAAGCUUUCUCUAUUGCUCCAAGAAGCAGAGAAUGACCAACUGUGCCAAACGCUGCUUUUAGAGAAAAUAAGGUCCAAGAAUUGACCGAAUAAUUCUUUAAACAUAACUCAACAUUAUGGCAAUUAUCCAAGAUUUCAUGCCAGACACCGACCAAGAGAAAGGUUGACUCUUGAAAAAAGGUAUUUUCAACGUCUCUGCAGGUCAUCAGGACGACGCCGUGGAAGAGUUCGUGAACGUUUCAGGAGAGACUCGGAGGAGUACCGAGCUUGACCGGCGGACACCGCACCGAGCCGCUCCACUGGGCCGGGGGAGGCAGGGC